CUUUCUUUUUUGGGUGGCGAGUGGCGGACGGGUGAGGAAUACAUCGGAAUCUACUUUUUCGUGGGGGAUAACGUAGGGAAACUUACGCUAAUACCGCAUACGACCUACGGGUGAAAGCAGGGGAUCUUCGGCCUUCGCGAUUGAAUGAGCCAUGUCGGAUUAGCUAGUUGGCGGGGUAAAGGCCCACCAAGGCGACGAUCCUAGCUGGUCUGAGAGGAUGAUCAGCCACACUGGAACUGAGACACGGUCCAGACUCCUACGGGAGGCAGCAGUGGGGAAUAUUGNACAAUGGGGCAACCUGAUCCAGCCAUACCGCGUGGGUGAAGAAGGCCUUCGGGUUGUAAAGCCCUUUUGUUGGAAAGAAAUCCAGCCGCUAAUACCCUGUUGGGAUGACGUACCCAAGAAAAGCC
rnacentral:rRNA from 1 species